AGUAGUAUGAGUGACUCUAAUUUAAAUUUCACCAACAACUUGGAGAGACUUGAUCGAAAUUUUGUUGUUAUUUCGGGGUCAGAUGUAGUUUAGUAUUGAUAUUUAGGUAAUCCAGUUAAUUAGAGAUGAUUGCUAAUUAACUGUGGAAAGAAAUAGCUACAACAUUCUUUAUGUCAAAAUCUAAAUGAGAGUUUGUUGUCAAAUGUAGAAAGUGUUGAAGCUGUCCUUGUUCCAGUCUUGAGUUGUGACAUCUUCGCCUUUGCUUCUCUAAUUAAUUUAACAUCAAGUGGCAUUGGCAUAAAAGAAUUACUUACUUGAAUUCGUUGCUUGGAGACCGAAAAUAAAUUAUGUAGAACAGACUUAAUCCUGUUUGUUUAAGUCUGUUGUAGAAUUACUGUGAAAUAUUUGCUGUGAACUGAGAUUAACAGCGAAAUUCCCCUGUUUCACUCUGAAAUGAAUGGAAGAUGAAUUUAUAUUGUAAUUAAAAUUGGAUAACAAAAGACUUUGCAACAUCUUCAAAUAUCAACAAAGAUCACAGUUGAUGGAAAUCUAGCAGAAGAAAUAUUUAUUUGG
rnacentral:lncRNA from 1 species